UACGUAGGGGGCUAGCGUUGUCCGGAUUUAUUGGGCGUAAAGCGCGUGUAGGCGGCCAGGAAGGUCCGCUGUGAAAACUCGAGGCUCAACCUCGAGAUGUCGGCGGAAACCCUCUGGCUAGAGUCCGGAAGAGGAGAGUGGAAUUCCCGGCGUAGCGGUGAAAUGCGCAGAUAUCGGGAAGAACACCCGUGGCGAAGGCGGCUCUCUGGGACGGUACUGACGCUGAGACGCGAAAGCGUGGGGAGCGAACAGG
rnacentral:rRNA from 1 species